rnacentral:rRNA from 1 species
GAUGAACGCUGGCGGCGCGCCUAAUACAUGCAAGUCGAGCGAACAGACGAGGAGCUUGCUCCUCUGACGUUAGCGGCGGACGGGUGAGUAACACGUGGAUAACCUACCUAUAAGACUGGGAUAACUUCGGGAAACCGGAGCUAAUACCGGAUAACAUGUUGAACCGCAUGGUUCAACAGUGAAAGACGGUCUUGCUGUCACUUAUAGAUGGAUCCGCGCCGCAUUAGCUAGUUGGUAAGGUAACGGCUUACCAAGGCAACGAUGCGUAGCCGACCUGAGAGGGUGAUCGGCCACACUGGAACUGAGACACGGUCCAGACUCCUACGGGAGGCAGCAGUAGGGAAUCUUCCGCAAUGGGCGAAAGCCUGACGGAGCAACGCCGCGUGAGUGAAGAAGGCCUUCGGAUCGUAAAACUCUGUUAUUAGGGAAGAACAAAUGUGUAAGUAACUAUGCACGUCUUGACGGUACCUAAUCAGAAAGCCACGGCUAACUACGUG